rnacentral:rRNA from 1 species
UACGUAGGUGGCAAGCGUUGUCCGGAUUUACUGGGCGUAGAGAGCGCGCAGGCGGUCGUUCAAGUCGCGUGUGAAAGCCCCCGGCUCAACUGGGGAGGGUCACGCGAUACUGAUCGACUCGAAGGCAGGAGAGGGUAGUGGAAUUCCUGGUGUAGCGGUGAAAUGCGCAGAUAUCAGGAGGAACACCGAUGGCGAAGGCAGGUCUCUGGGCAGUAACUGACGCUGAGGAGCGAAAGCGUGGGGAGCGAACAGG